AGCAGCCGCGGUAAUUCCAGCUCCAAUAGCGUAUAUUAAAGUUGUUGCAGUUAAAAAGCUCGUAGUUGAAUUUCGGGAUUCUACCGUUGGUCGGGCUAACAAGUCUGUACUGGUGUGUAGAAUUUCUACCUUCUGGGGAACUAUCAUGUUAUUAAUUUAGCGUGGUGGGAAACCAGGACCUUUACCUUGAAAAAAUUAGAGUGUUCAAAGCAGGCUUACGUCUGAAUACAUUAGCAUGGAAUAAUAGAAUAGGACGGUGGUCCUGUUUUGUUGGUUUCUGAAUCACCGUAAUGAUUAAUAGGGAUAGUUGGGGGCAUUAGUAUUCAAUUGUCAGAGGUGAAAUUCUUGGAUUUAUUGAAGACUAACUUCUGCGAAAGCAUUUGCCAAGGAUGUUUUCAUUAAUCAAGAACGAAAGUUAGGGGAUCGAAGACGAUCAGAUACCGUCGUAGUCUUAACCAUAAACUAUGCCGACUAGGGAUCGGACGAUGUUAAAUUUAUUGACUCGUUCGGCGCCUUACGG
rnacentral:rRNA from 1 species